rnacentral:lncRNA from 1 species
CCUACUUUUGCUGUGUGGAAGCUUUUUCUCCUCCUCCUCCCUCGUUUUGUUUCUGCUUGGUCUUUAGGUCUGUGCUGCUUUUGUGAAUUGUAGCACUCAUUAUGAAGGUCUGUGGCUUCACUUCUGAAGCCAGUGAGCCCACAAAUUCACUGAGACGUAACUCCAGACGUGCCAGUUUUACGAGCUAUAACAUUCACUGUGAAAGUUAGUAGCCUCACUUCUGAGCAAGGAAGACUACAUAAUCCACCAAAAGGAAAAAAACUGAACACAUUGGAACAUUAGAAGGAGCAAGCUCCAGACAUGCCGCUUAUAAGAAAUUUAAUACUCACUGUUAAGGGCCCAUGGUUUCAUUUUUGAAGUCGGUGAAACCGGGCACUGACCAAUUCUGGACACACCAGCAGCCCUGGAAAAGCAUAAGUUUGUGAAGACUAUUUGGAAAGUCUGAGUCCCUGUCCCUGGAGUGUGUCUUUUCUGUGUGUGUGUGUGGUUGUGUUGGUUUUUUUUUUUUUUGGAGUUUUUGGUCUUGGUUCCCAAGUUGGACUGCGUAUGAUCUCAACUCACUGCAACCUCUGCUUGCUGGGUUCAAGUGAUUCUCCUGCCUCAGCCUCUGCUAGCAGCUGGGAUUACAGUGUUUGUGACGAUGCUGCCUAUAAAACAGAAGACACUUGUUCAUCCAGCACAGCUGCCAGCAAGAUCAUCUAGAUUAAAGUCACUACGCCACAGCAGGUGACGAAGAUGUGUUCUCUGAAAUUAUAAAGUGACUCAAGCUCUGAAAAUCUGUGGAAAGAAACUUAAGGACAGAAAAUCCUAACAGGUCUCAACGGCAUCUGUUCAUUACAUCUUUUCCAAAAAGAAGUCCAUCCUCUCAUUUUUUCUUUUUAAACAAGACUUUCAUCCUAGCACAAACCUAUGACCAAAACGUCAUCAAAAGGAAGGAAAGGAAGAAGGUUGAGGAAUGAAAAAAAAAGUCAGAUGAGUGAUUUUACAUACACGAUCUCAUUCAAUUUAUUGCUCGCCAAGACCUAUAAAAAUAGAUAUUAACCUAGCAAUUGUACUCUUAGGUAUUUAUCCCAGAGAAAUUACAAUGUACAUUAACAUAAAAACCCAUAUAAGAAUGUUCAUAGGAGUCUUGUUCAUAAUAGCCCAAAAUUUGGAGACAGUCCAAAUGUCCUUUAAUGAAUAGUUAAACUGUGUACAUCCAAACUACAAACUAUCACUUAGCAAUCAAAAGGAACAAAUUCACAAUAAAUGCAACAACUUGGAUGAAGCUCCAAGGAAGUAUGCAGAGUGGAAAAAAAUCCCACACACGCCUACAUGAUUCUAUGUAUAUAACAUUAUUGAUAAUACAAAGUUUUGGAAGUGAACAGAUUUGUGGCUGCCAGGCAUUGAGGGGGGUCAUGAUGAAGACAGGUAGGUGUGGCUGUAAAAGGACAACAGGAGAGGUCAGAGUUCUUUGUGGUCAUGGCUGGGGAAGUAAAUACACAAACCUACACAUGCGAUAUAGUUAUUUAGAACAAAAUACACAUGAGUAACAGUGAAACUGAAUAAAAU